GACGAACGCUGGCGGCGUGCUUAACACAUGCAAGUCGAGCGGUAAGGCCCUUUCGGGGGUACACGAGCGGCGAACGGGUGAGUAACACGUGGGUGACCUGCCCUUAGCUCUGGGAUAAGCCUGGGAGACUGGGUCUAAUACCGGAUAUGACUCCAUGACGCAUGUUGUGGGGUGGAAAGCCUUGUGCGGCUAGGGAUGGGCCCGCGGCCUAUCAGCUUGUUGGUGGGGUGAUGGCCUACCAAGGCGACGACGGGUAGCCGGCCUGAGAGGGCGACCGGCCACACUGGGACUGAGACACGGCCCAGACUCCUACGGGAGGCAGCAGUGGGGAAUCUUGCGCAAUGGGCGAAAGCCUGACGCAGCGACGCCGCGUGGGGAUGACGGCCUCG
rnacentral:rRNA from 1 species